CUUUGGUGGAAAGCGGCGGACGGGUGAGUAACGCGUGGGCAACCUACCUUAUACAGGGGGACAACAUCGGGAAACCGGUGCUAAUACCGCAUAACACAUUGAAAUGGAAUCAUUAUGAUGUCAAAGGAGGAAUCCGGUAUAAGAUGGGCCCGCGUCCAAUUAGCUAGUUGGUGAGGUAACGGCUCACCAAGGCGACGAUUGGUAGCCGAACUGAGAGGUUGAUCGGCCACAUUGGGACUGAGACACGGCCCAGACUCCUACGGGAGGCAGCAGUGGGGAAUAUUGCACAAUGGGGGAAACCCUGAUGCAGCAACGCCGCGUGAAGGAUGAAGGUCUUCGGAUUGUAAACUUCUUUGAUUGGGGAAGAAGAAGUGACGGUACCCAAAAAACAAGCCACGGCUAACUACGUGCCAGCAGCCGCGGUAAUACGUAGGUGGCAAGCGUUGUCCGGAAUUACUGGGUGUAAAGGGCGUGUAGGCGGGGAUGCAAGUCAGGUGUGAAAGCCCAUGGCUCAACUGUGGGACUGCAUCUGAAACUGAAUCUCUUGAGUACUGGAGAGGGAAGUGGAAUUCCUAGUGUAACGGUGAAAUGCGUAGAGAAUUAGGAGGAACACCAGUGGCGAAGGCGGCUUCCUGGACAGUUAACUGACGCUGAGGCGCGAAAGCGUGGGGAGCGAACAGGAUUAGAUACCCUGGUAGUCCACGCCGUAAACGAUUGGAUACUAGGUGUAGGAGGUAUCGACCCCUUCUGUGCCGGAGUUUAACACAUUAAGUAUCCCACCUGGGGAAUACGACCGCAAGGUUGAAACUCAAAGGAAUUGACGGGGGCCCGCACAAGCAGUGGAGUAUGUGGUCUAAUUCGAAGCAACGCGAAGAACCUUACCAGGGCUUGACAUCCCUUGACAGCUCUAGAGAUAGAGUUUCCCUUCGGGGCAAGGAGACAGGUGGUGCAUGGUUGUCGUCAGCUCGUGUCGUGAGAUGUUGGGUUAAGUCCCGUAACGAGCGCAACCCUUAUUGUUAGUUGCCAGCAAGUAAAGUUGGGCACUCUAACGAGACUGCCGGUGAUAAAUCGGAGGAAGGUGGGGAUGACGUCAAAUCAUCAUGCCCCUUAUGUCCUGGGCUACACACGUACUACAAUGGCUGGUACGGAGGGGAGCUAAGCCGCGAGGUGGAGUCAAUCCCCAAAACCAGUCCCAGUUCGGAUUGCAGGCUGCAAUUCGCCUGCAUGAAGUGGGAAUUGCUAGUAAUGGCAGGUCAGCAUACUGCCGUGAUACGUUCCCGGGCCUUGUACA
rnacentral:rRNA from 1 species